ACGAGGACGGGGGACCCACACGUCCUCUCGGAUAACCGAAAGACCUGCUCCGGCAGGACUUUCUUGGGGUGAAGCCCAACAAUCCCCACCGGGAUGGUUGAGCCGGGCUACCUCUCAGCCCGAACCCGACAGCUGACCUCGCAGGCGCCUGUGGAGAGGAU
rnacentral:sRNA from 1 species